rnacentral:lncRNA from 1 species
UUUUUUUUUUUUUUCUUUUUUCUUUUUUUUUUUCUGUUGUUGUUGUUGUUGCUAUUUCUUGGGCCGCUCCCGCGGCAUAUGGAGCGGCCCAAAGAAAUAGCAAAAAAAGACAUAAAUAAAUAAAUAAAAUCUACACAACCCAAUUCAUGUGAAUUAUAUUCUUAAAAUAUAAAUGGAAUUUUCAAAUAAUUUCCCUGAAGAAAUUUUAUGACUUUUUAACCCGUUUCUUCUUUUCUCAUUAAGGUUGCAGGAGUCAACACAUAGGCUUCCUGUCAGACUAGGACUGAUUGGCUUCCAAAAUGAAUGAUAUAAUACAGGGGUUUCUGUCACUCUGGAUAUAGUAUUUCUGACAGCCUGUAGGCAAAUAAAUUUAUAUCUGACAUAUGACUAGAGAUGCUAAAACCUAUAAAAACAUCUUUCAAAAGUUUAAUUAAUACUUAAAAGUUUAAAUUUCAAACAUAUUCACUGAAAGUCAGUUUUCUAAUAGUAAUAAUUUUAAUCAAGAAAAUCUCACUUAGGCCAAUUUUAAAGAUGAGUGAAUAGAUUUAUAAGAAUUACUAUUUUAAAAAGAAUUUUUAACUUAUUUUUUAUUUUACAUUGGAGUACAGCUGAUUUACAAUGCUGUAUUAGUUUCAGAUGUACAGCAAAGUGAUUCAGUUAUAUAUAUAUAUACCCAUUCUUUUUCAUAUUCUUUUCCCAUAGAAGUUAUUAAAAAAUACUGAGUUCCCUGAGCUAUACUGUAUAGGUCCUUGUUGAUAAUCUAUUUUACAUAAGUAAGUAGUCUAUAUAUUAAUCCCAAACACCUAAAAAUAAUUUAUUUUACCACUAAACAAAAAGAAAUUGUAAAAGCCAGAAAGAUAAUGCACCUCAAAUUUCCCAAUACUCAAGAAAAACUUUAUAGUCCCACAGAGUGAAAAAGCAAAGAACAAAGAGUUUCACAGCUUUUCAAUAGAUCGGUUGAGCAGAUAUACUAUAUCACACAUAAAAAUGGCAACAGCUUUCUAAUUUUAAAACAGGCUUUGAAAAAUUAAAUACCACAGUGCCCUCUACUGUCAUUUUUAAGGAACCCAAAUAAUCUGUAAACCCUAGGUCUUACAUUUCUGAAACUAUAUUCAAUAUAAUGAAGAAAAUGCUUUUCAUUAUUAAUAUAAUAAUUAACUUUCAUCUCAUAAAGAGAAGCAAUCUCAACUGUGUCUGUCUGCUUCAAGUGUAAAUAACAAUGAAAUUCUCAUGACCCCCUAGACUGUUUUUACCAGUACAUUAUUUUAUUUUAUAAAUGCCUCCUGAGUAAAGGCUUGGGGAGGGGAAACACUGUUAUAGGAGAGGAAGUAACUCUAUAAGGAGAAUAAAUAUCUUUAGAUAAGACUUGAAGAAAUCUGUGCCCCAGAGGGCAUACAUACCUAAAACAGCAGUCUCCAAAGUGAGUUAAGUACAAUAUCUCAAUGGACUGCAAAAAGAAAAUACUAUAACAUCUAUUUAUAAUUAAACAUUAAUAAUAUUUGGUAUAUAGAAUAAUACUCCCUCUAUGGAUGGUAUAUCACAUGGUUAUGUGUCAGGAUAUGUAGUAUUCUAAUAGAAAAGUAGGAGUUAAUGAAGUAUUAACAACAGCACCCACAAAGAAACUGUACAUACCCACAGAGAAUCUAUAUUGAGGAAAUUCAAAUUACACAAACGAACAAGUAUAUGGCAGAGCUCUUUCCUUCUUAACUCCUAUUUCAAACUCUUUAUUAGAGUUAAGAAAUACAAUCAUAUAUUACAAUAAUUUUAGAAAGUAGAAAUUAUAAAGAUCAUUUGAAUUGUAAAAUCAGAUUUUACUAUCACAAAAUUACAGUCACAGACCUCACUGUAAGUAUAUAUUAUGCAUCAAAAAUAAUAAAUAAUAAAAGUAGGACUCCAAAAUUAGCAAGACAUUUUUAAAUAGUUUAUUUCACCAUUAUCUCCUUCUUUUUAUCUUUGUUCAUGUUUUAUGAGGCAUAUUUUCAUUAGUUUAUGAUAAAUGUAUAUAUCACAGAAAUAUGUACACCUAUUAGAAUUACAUCCUAAAUUUUUUAACCAACUAUGGUAUAUAAUACCAAGAUAAUUACAAAAUAAUUACAGACCACUGGCCUAAAGAUAAGCUUGAUCUUAAUUACAGGAUCUAUAAUUAAGAAAAAAAAAUUAAUAGGUGUCAUUAUAACUAAAGAAGCCUUCAAGAGGAGCCAGAUGCUUGGAAAACAAAAGCCUGUAUACAGAGAGAUGACUAUAUACAGCAGCUAUAUAAAAGCCCCUACCACAGCUGCAAUGACAAAGUGACAGAUCAACUAAGGCUGGGAAUCUUAUCAUAAAGUUAUCAUCUAUAGUCAGUAUCCUACUAUUUCCUUUGUCCUCUUCUACAGAAAUACAAACAAAUAUAAAAAAUAUGCAGCAGGUUAAGUUAAGGAUCUGGUGAUGUCACUACAGGGGCC